AAUUUUGGCCAAUGGGCGCAAGCCUGAUCCACCCAUCCCGCGUGAGUGAGGAAGCCUUCCGGUUGGUAACCCCCUUUCGCACGGAAAGAAAUCGCGUGAGCUUAUAUCCUGCAUGGACGACGGCUCACUACGAAGAAGCACCCGCUAUCUUCCUUCCAGCAGCCGCGGUAAUACGAAGGGUGCGAGCGUUAAUCGGAAUUACUGGGCGUAAAGCGUGCGCAGGCGGUUGGUUAAGACCGGCGUGAAAUCCCCGGGCUUAACCUGGGAACUGCGGUUGGGACUGGUAGGCUAGAGUGAGGCAGAGGGGGGUGGAAUUCCACGUGUAGCAGUGAAAUGCGUAGAGAUGUGGAGGAACACCGAUGGCGAAGGCAGCCCCCUGGGCCGAUACUGACGCUCAUGCACGAAAGCGUGGGUAGCAAACAGG
rnacentral:rRNA from 1 species